rnacentral:rRNA from 1 species
UGGGGAAUUUUGGACAAUGGGCGCAAGCCUGAUCCAGCCAUUCCGCGUGAGUGAAGAAGGCCUUCGGGUUGUAAAGCUCUUUCGCAAGGGAAGAAAACUUAUCCUCUAACAUAGGAUGAGGUUGACGGUACCUUGAUAAGAAGCACCGGCUAACUACGUGCCAGCAGCCGCGGUAAUACGUAGGGUGCGAGCGUUAAUCGGAAUUACUGGGCGUAAAGCGUGCGCAGGCUGUUCUGUAAGUCAGAUGUGAAAUCCCCGAGCUCAACUUGGGAACUGCGUUUGAAACUACAGGACUAGAAUAUGUCAGAGGGGGGUAGAAUUCCACGUGUAGCAGUGAAAUGCGUAGAGAUGUGGAGGAAUACCAAUGGCGAAGGCAGCCCCCUGGGAUAAUAUUGACGCUCAUGCACGAAAGCGUGGGGAGCAAACA